rnacentral:misc_RNA from 1 species
GUUGAAGAACGCAGCGAAAUGCGAUAAGUAAUGUGAAUUGCAGAAUUCAGUGAAUCAUCGAAUCUUUGAACGCACAUUGCGCCCUCUGGUAUUCCGGGGGGCAUGCCUGUUCGAGCGUCAUUAUAACCACUCAAGCUCUCGCUUGGUAUUGGAGUUCGCGAUCUCGCGGCUCCUAAAAUCAGUGGCGGUGCCUGUCGGCUCUACGCGUAGUAAUACUCCUCGCGAUUGAGUCCGGUAGGUUUACUUGCCAGCAACCCCCAAUUUUUACAGGUUGACCUCGGAUCAGGUAGGGAUACCCGCUGAACUUAAGCAUAUCAAUAAGCGGAGGA